rnacentral:rRNA from 1 species
UACCAGCACCCCGAGUGGUCGGGACGAUUAUUGGGCCUAAAGCGUCCGUAGCCGGUCAUGCAAGUCCUCCGUGAAAUCCGCCUGCUUAACAGAUGGGCUGCGGAGGAUACUACAAGGCUAGGAGGCGGAAGAGGCAAGCGGUACUUAGUGGGUAGGGGUAAAAUCCUCUGAUCCAUUGAAGACCACCAGUGGCGAAGGCGGCUUGCCAAUACGCGCUCGACGGUGAGGGAUGAAAGCUGGGGGAGCAAACCGG